AUCAAAAUCGUGACGAUUUUUACUUUCUUCGUUUUUCUUCUUUUUCUUUUCUUUUUUUUUACUUUAUUCGCCUGAAAGAUUAAUAAUGAAUAAAAUGAAAAGAAAGAUAAAAAAUGAAAAAGAAGAAGAAGAAGAAGAUCAGAGAGCAUCGAACAGUCGUGGAAAGAAGAUCACGAUGGGAUGCACCUGCAGGUAUAUUUUAGAUGGUUAGCAGCUCCGAAGGCGACUCCGACGUUCGACGAAGUCGUCCGAAGGUCAUCGAGCUAGAUUCCUCUAUAAAACCGACGCAACCACGUCCCAGCAGUUAUUCGCAAGAAAGGAAGAGCGACGUACGGUUAGUCGAUUCUGUGUACAAAUACUGAUCUCUAAAAACGUUACUAUUAACGAAACAUUAAUUCUCUAAAGUUAUUACAAAUGUCGUUUUAGUGUUCGAUAUUUGAAAUACCGAAUUCUUUUUUUUUUUUUUUUAUAUACCUUUCCGUCGGAUAGUGAUAAGUGAUAAGAUAAUUCCGGCGAUUUUCUCGAGGAAGAAAAGAAAACUUUUUCGAAGUUUUUCACUGCUACGCACUAUCUCUUAUACUAAAAAGAAAGAAGAAAAAAUAAAAGAAAAGAAAGAUAGAAAGAAAGAAAAAAGAAAAGGAAAAGAAAAACAAGAACAAAGGAGAAAAAUCUCAAAGAAGAUGUAUACCAAUCCGUUCAAUCGUAAACACAGUACGAUCAGACAAAUGUUGGAUCGUCUUUUGGAUCCAACGAGGAAGCCAAUCAGAAGAUCAGAAAGUGUAUCGAGUUCUGGAAGUAGUACGAGUAAAAGUAGCGAUCGAUCUUGGAAUGAGUCUAAUCAUUCUCACAGAGGGAUUCUACUAUGGGGUAGAAAGUGAACGGAAAUUAAUCGAGAUGAGAGAUGAUCGUUUUGAACGUUUACAAUCAAUAUUAUCAUUCCUCUCACUCUCUCUCUCUCUCUCUCUCUCUCUCUCUCUCUUUCUCUCUCCACUUUCUCUAUAUCUCUUUUUUUUUCUUAUCAACUUUGCUCACAAGGAGAGUUUUUUGAAUGGAGGCCAAAGCAGAAUAACUUUCUAUCAUGCUGUGGGAAGAAGAUCAAAAAAGGAAGUAUAACUUCCUUUUUAACGUUUCUUUUUUUAACUGGCAAUCAUCUUGGAAAUGAACGAAAGUGAACGAGCAAAUCGAUUGGAAGAAGAAAAAGAAAAAAAAAAAAAUAAACGAAAAAAGAACACAAGUCUGUUAUUUUCUUCUGCUUGGAUUCUAAAGAAUGGCUUCGCUAUUAAGAAGAAUUAGAAGAGGAAGAAGAAGAAGAAGAAGAAGAAGAAGAAGAAGAAGAAGAAGAAGAAAACAACAAGAAAAAGACAAGGACGAAGAUGCUUAGGAGCAAUGAAGAAUCGAGAAAUCUAAUUGGAUCAAUCGAUUUUUUUUUCUUUUUUUUCUUUCUUUUUUUUCUUUCUUUUUUUUCAUCCGUUCUUCUCAUUAUUUUUUUUUUUUAUUUUUUUUUUUUACAAUAGUUAGGAAAUAUUGUUCACACUUUAAUCACGCCAUAUAUUCGUGCUUAUUUAUGCUAUUAUUCGUUAAGCCUCAUUAUUAUUAUUCUUCGUGCCAUAUUAUAAUAAAUUAUCUCAUCUUAGAAUCUAAGAGAGAUAAUACAUGUUAUUACGAUGAUUAUUAUAUCAUUAAUUAAAUCUGCGAAGAAUUUAGAAGAAUUAAGUUUACCUAGUCAAGAGGCAGUAUUAGUUGUCAAUCUUUCUUCACUCUUUUCAUUCAACAAUGUGUUUUUUUGUUCUCUUUUCUUUUCAUUCAUUAUAUUCUUUUUAUUUAUUGAUAUAUAUAUAUAUAUAUAUAUGUAUAUAUAUGUAUAUAUAUGUAUAUCAUUUACUUUUGUACUUUAUUAAUACAAACAGAGAUGUGCAAUUAAUUGGAAAACCAAGAAUUAAAAAAAAAGCAAACAAAACAAAGAUAUAGACUUCCUUUUCUUUGAUCCUAUCCUUUUAUUAUAAAAAGAAGGUGUAUGGAUGUGCAUAUAUUAUAUUAUAUUAUAUAUAUAUAUAUAUAAAAAGCAGUUCAUUGACACUUCUCAACGCAAAUAAAUCAAUUCAUUUUUAUUUUUCUUUUUUCUCUUUUUAUUUUUAUUCUUUUUCUCAUUUUAAUCUUAACCAAUAAUGAAUGUGUACUUCCUUUGGAAAGAUAAGACUGCAUAAAAUACGAGGGCAUAUAUAAUCUACCAUUGAGGCGACAUAUCUAUAUAUGCGUGUUUGUAUUUAAAAGAAGGACUUUCGUAUCAUACGCUAGUUGUCUCGAAGGAAGAAAACGACAACGACGACGACGACGACGAUGAAGACGACGACGACGACGACGAUGACGACGACAAAAUCGAUAGGGUCGAGUGCUCGUAAUUAGUUUAACAUAUAUCUUUGAUAAACAGAUACCUACAUAUGUAUUUUGUUUACUUUUGUGACAUGUCUCAAACGAGACAUAGGCUGUCACUAAAAUAAAUGACGAUAAGAAAUUUGAUAAUCAACUUUUUUCACAUAUGUAUUGCAGAAAAGUUUACGCAUCGACGGUGCCAUGAAAACGAUCGAAGCGUGUAUAUGCAGUUGAAUAGUUUCUGGAAAAAUACAGGGACCCGAUUUAAUGCUCGACCUGUUUAGGGUGAAAAAAUUAUAUUUAUAUUUAUAUAUACAUAAUUGAUCAAACUUUCGGCUGCCUCCUGAUACAUCAUUGACAUUCUUGAGGUUGUGAUAUCUGGUCGAUGUCCUUGAUGCAUACAAGCGCAAUAAAGUGGAUGUAAUAUAAUACACAUAGGACUUUUUCUAACUCUAAGAGAAAUCGUGACAUCUGAAUUAAGUUAACGAGUGUACGAGGUAAUGUUAUUUUAAGGUAAUCCAAAACUUUUCUUAAAUGAAAAGCAUGACGUAAUGGUGAAAAUUGUUGAGGAUUAUAACAUUGAGCCGAACAAAUGUCAUUUGCACCGAAGAAAAUAGUGAUCAACUGCAACAAAAUUUUUUUUUUUUAAGUAGUACCACUCAAGUAUUAAAUUAAUUUUCAUUCAUUUUAAUGUCAAUUAAUAAUUUAAUUUUUAAUGGAUUUAAUUAACACCUUCCAAUGUUUGGUAAAAUUAAUCCUAGGAUCAUUUCUUAUCCUUUGCACGAGGAUUCUUGCUUGUUUUAUGGCAUCUUCGGUAGCUGCUACAGGAAAAGCGAUAUUUAAUCUUGCUUUUGAUGAAAUAAAUUCGCCUGUACCGGUCGAGUAGCCAGUUAAAUUUGGAUUGAAUACCUGUUGUUAAUUUAGAAAAAAAAAAAAAAAGAAACAAUUAUAUUCUCUUUACCCUGCUACAAUGAAAAUACAAUGGACUUAUGUGUUAUAAAAAAAAAAAAAAAAAAAAAAAAAAAAAAAAAAGAGAGAGAGCAAGAGAAAAAAAGAAAAGGAAAACAAACAAACAAAUAAAUAAAUAUUUACUGUCAAAAAUUUUCGCCAAUUAUCUUGGCCGCCAAUGCACCAGCUGACUCCACGUGCUUCAAUGAAAGUUCCAAUAGCGAAUUCUUCCAAAGCACCACUACCAGCUACAAGAGAAUCACCAAGACCACCGAUCACGUCAAUGUCACCUGGUCUUAAUCUAUGAACACUUUCCGCAAACCUGCCGAAACGAAUGUUACAAGGAAAUGGUACUGCGUCUGGUAUGAUUGGCUGCCUUCGUACACCAUCGAAAAUCAUUGGAUAAACUAUACCAUUGGUAUUGAGAUCUACCUGGAAUAAGAGAAAAGAGGAGAAGAAGAAUAAUCUUAAAAAAAAAAAAAAAAGAAAGAAAGAAAGAAAGAUGAGAGAAAAUU